rnacentral:rRNA from 1 species
UAAUACAUCGGAACGUGCCCGAUCGUGGGGGAUAACCGAAGCGAAAGCUUUGCUAAUACCGCAUACGAUCUACGGAUGAAAGCAGGGGACCGCAAGGCCUUGCGCGAACGGAGCGGCCGAUGGCAGAUUAGGUAGUUGGUGGGAUAAAAGCUUACCAAGCCGACGAUCUGUAGCUGGUCUGAGAGGACGACCAGCCACACUGGGACUGAGACACGGCCCAGACUCCUACGGGAGGCAGCAGUGGGGAAUUUUGGACAAUGGGCGAAAGCCUGAUCCAGCCAUGCCGCGUGCAGGAUGAAGGCCUUCGGGUUGUAAACUGCUUUUGUACGGAACGAAAAGACUCUGAUUAAUACCUGGGGUCCAUGACGGUACCGUAAGAAUAAGCACCGGCUAACUACGUGCCAGCAGCCGCGGUAAUACGUAGGGUGCAAGCGUUAAUCGGAAUUACUGGGCGUAAAGCGUGCGCAGGCGGUUAUAUAAGACAGAUGUGAAAUCCCCGGGCUCAACCUGGGAACUGCAUUUGUGACUGUAUAGCUAGAGUACGGCAGAGGGGGAUGGAAUUCCGCGUGUAGCAGUGAAAUGCGUGAAUAUGCGGAGGAACACCGAUGGCGAAGGCAAUCCCCUGGGCCUGUACUGACGCUCAUGCACGAAAGCGUGGGGUGCAAACAGGAUUAGAUACCCUGGUAGUCCACGCCCUAACCGUAUCUACUGGUUGUUGGGUCUUCACUGACUCGAGUAACGAAGCUAACGCGUGAAGUGACC